UUUUUGCUUCAUUUAAAUGUGAGAGUGACCACUGUCCAUCGUCACUAUCUUCACCCCCAUUGGCCACAAACACAAAGAGAGAAGGACACAUAAAGUGUGAUCAAUGCUCAUAUGAGUUUCUGCAGCACGGGCAAACCCAGCAGAAGAAGCAAAAAAAAAGGUCCAAGAAAACCUUUUUUCCCCAUUGUUUCUGGAGAACGUGUUCAUAAGGUUAGUUCUUACUCUUCAAUCUUGCCUCUGUUUCUGAUUUGAGAUGGAACUUGACAUCUUGUGACUUCCACAGAUAAUAGUUUCCCCCAUUGUUUGCCAGCAAGCAAUUAAAUAUAAAUGAUGAUGUUGAACUCUGUUAUAUCAUCUUUACUAGCUAACAUUGCAGUCGCCUUUAAUUUAACUUUGGUGUUCUAUUAUGGAAGUAACUCGUUGAUAGUCUUUUAUGCGCAAUUACGAUACAAAGAACUAUGGAACAUACAAGAAAGAAAGUGAUAGAGGGAGAGAGGGGGGGGCGGGGGGGUGGGGGGUUGUUGAGAUCCUGUUACAACAAAACAACCUAUCGUACACAAGUGCACAUUAUUACUUCAUAUGUCAUAUACUAGCUAAAGCCUCAAAGAAUCAAGGUAAGAUUUCCCGUUGAGCUCCCUAGAGAAGAGCCCUUUGAAGAAAUCCUCCACGAGUAUGCGCUUGAAGUGAGGCGGAGUCUCCUCAGUAAUCAAGCUUUCGGCGGGUCCUAUCUCUUUCUUGUAGCUCGGCGGAAAGAACGUCGCACACGCAAACCUUUCUUUCUCCGCCAAUGUUGAUGAUGAAGGCAUUAGGGAGGGGUUUCACAGUAACCCAGUUGCCAUGUUUCUUGAUCUGGAGGCCUUGGACUUGGUUGAGCUGGAGAAGGAUGGUUAAGCCCGUGGCGUCAGAAUGCGGAGUGAGCCCAAUGACCUUAUUCGGUUGCGGGCACGGUGGGUAAUAGUUCAUCCUCAUUGAUUGAUGUCCAUUUUCAAACACUUGUGUCAUCUCAUUUUCGUCCAUUUUUAGUGCUUUGGCCAUUUGAACCAAGAUCUCCAUUGCUGUGUUUUUAAGCUCCAUAGAGUAUACCUCCAAGGUCUCUCUUAGAGGCAGGGGAAGCUUUGGAAACAAGUGAGGCUUUCUCUCGUGAGGAGGCUGCGUGACGAGGAAGAAUAGGUCGGCCCAAUCGAGCUUCUGUUCCUCGGAGACCACGAAUGCUUGUCCGAAACCU
rnacentral:lncRNA from 1 species